GGCUUCUGUCCGGACAUCAGGAGCACCAAGAAAGUGUGCAAGGCUGUGAUGAAGGAGCUUCAGAAGAAGUUCUGCAGUAGGCGAAUGCUGGAGACUCUAAUAUUAUUGGAGGAUCCAGUUGUGGAAGCAGAGAUUGUCCGAUGUUUACAAGCUCACAUCAAAGACCUGUCUGCUCGCCUUGCAGAGAAAGCUGCAAACUCCGGAAAGGGGUGGAGGGACAUGCUCAAGGUCAUGGCCAUCACUGCAGGUUUUCUGGCCACCUUGGUUUUAUUGCUCCUCAUCCCAUAAAGAAGCACAAAGAGUAUAGCUUCAGUUGAAAGGUUUAUGACCUGCAAAGAACUCAUUAAACAGUCACUAAACCAUCGGUCCUGGCUGACUUCUGUCGAUAAAAACUAAGGACUGUGAGGAAUGUUCUCAACGCUACACUCACACUCUCAUCUGCUCGACUCAAUGAUGCUUCCCUGAGGACCUUUCUGUAUGAGGCAACGGCGAUUGUGAACAGUCACCCUCAUACAACAGAGAAUCUGAACGAUCCAAACAGUUUGGAACCACUCACUCCGAAUCACCUCAUCGCCAUGAAGGAUACCACUGCUCUACCUCCCCCUGGAAGGUUUGUUAGGGAGGACUGGUGUGGACAAAAAAGAUGGCGUCAAGUACAGUUCCUGGCAGAGCAGUUUUGGAGCCGCUGGAGGAAGGAGUAUCUCCACAGCAUCGUGGUCAGACAAAUAUAACAAAUAAGCAGUACUGAAUGUUGAAAAUAAAAUAAAAUAAAAUAUAAGGUGCAGUGAA